AUUCACACGUGCAUAUGGUAAAUGACGAGUGACUGAGGGGGAAAGGUACAACUGAAAAAAGUGAGGAAAAUGAAGAAAUUUCAUUCACACAAGUCAGUGAAUCCUGGGAAAUAACAAGAAUAUUCUCCUGCAUUCUUUCAUCUGUCCACCAGAUGUCCUUGGACUUUUUACAAAUAUGUUAUUCUCUUUUACCAAUGGCAUCACUUCCUGUUUGAGUACAUAGAGGUCAAAUGUCCUGCUCAAAUGUUUGGUGUGGAAGUGUCACUCUUGGAGACACUUCAGCUAACCAAGCCAGAGAGAUUCAAUGAGUUCUUCUAAUCAACCGCCAGGAAAUCUCAGGAGCCAGUGAUUUGAAGGUAACUUUAUCUGAUGUCAGAAGACCUGUUGACAGUGAAAUGCAUGUGUAACCGACUGGAGGCCUACUAUAAUGUCCACAGGACUGAGAAACACAACAAGGACAUGCAUACAGUCUCCGAAUGUUUCUGCAGAUUGUUAGGAGUAACCAGCAGCAUGUGGAAAAGUUGUGGUGAAAGACGGACAGAAAUGUGGUCAAGCAUCUUCAAUAGCCCGGGCCCCUAAUCAGUUGUUGAGAUGGGCCAAGAGCCUGUCAUCUCUAGGGGGUCCCAAACGUUCUUUAACGCCCAGAUCUGUCACACAGCUGUCACUGUCCUUAAAAGUUGGACGGCAUCUCACACACUGGAUCUGUGUCCGAUGAGAUCAGUUAUCAGCCCCUCCUGCAGGACAUCACCGACGUCAGUGUCAGGUUCCCCUUUCAGCAGUACACUACACAUGAAUGGAGGGACAAUCAAAGGCGAGUCCUCAACAUUGGGGGAGACUGUCCCAGAGUUAACCCUUGCUUGUUCUGCUCUUAAGAGUCUUGAACGCUUGGGACCCUCACAGUGAGCAAGUGUCCAAUUUCUGCGCUGGUUUAGCCUCUGAACUGUGAGGAUGGAUGGAAGGGCAGCUAAGCCUUUUUAUGAAGACCUCCAGGGACGAGCAGCCCUGAAGCUGAAUGGACUCAGGAGAUUCUUAAUUACAUUUCAUGGCUGUUCGGAGUUUGUCUUUGUUGUCUGGUUGUCCCCAAUGUUGCCUGUGUGGGAAUUCCCAACAGCAAACUGUAAAAAGCUGCACAGCAUUAUUUGACAUGGACAGAUGACAGUUGAGUAUGAUGUUGGAAAACCCUUUUUACAAAUAUUUACAAAUUAUAACUUUUUUUAAUAGGAAAAAACACUUAUUUGUAUUUGUACUCAUUGACAUUUUCAACCGAAACUCAAUCUUAUGAAAACCCAGUUUUUUUAAUUUAACUGUAUUUGAAAUUCUAUCUGGUAUUUGAUGACAAUAUGCAUUGUGCAGAAUGUUCCAUUGUGAAGCUAGAAUAUCAUCACUAGCUCCUGCUGCCAAGGCUGUGGUGCCACACUUGAUCGUCAGCCCUCAUCACCGCCUCAGCAGGGUGUUUCUCACCAAGUACAACAUUAUUAACAUGUUUUGAUCCCACUGUGGCUCAGUGGUAAGGAUGUGUAUUUUGAAUAUCAUUCCAAUUAGCAUCAAAGUAUACUACAGAAUCUUUGGAGCUGACAACUCGCAGCACAGGCCAGCAUCAAAUUAUGGGAGACAGAAACAACAAGAUGGCAAAACCAGAACAGUUGCCUUGUUUGAAUUGGAAAGUUUGUCCCUCAGUGAGACCAAGACCUUUAAGCAAUUCUGACAAAUCCCACCUCUGGUCUGCCGCAGAUGGCACAGCAAUCCACCCAGGCUGUGAAUGAAUGAAAGAGUAGGUGUUGAGCUCUAAUUUCCCAACGUCUGCUACUAGCUAGAGCCAAACCAGGCAUCAAAGCCUGCUCCCAGAAUUAGCCACACUUUAAUAGUGGCUAUUAAAAAUGUGAGGUCACAAAUUAGACCAAUGUUUGGGUUUAAUAAGCUUAACUACUGGAAUAACACUUCAUUAACUUCAUUCACUUUAAACCAAUGAGCAGCUUCAUCAUUCAGAUGAAUAUUCCCCCGCCAGCAGUCAUGUUAGACAAAUCCGUGCACUCAGCAAAGGGAGCAGAUACUGAUGGCCUUGUUUGGUGGUGUUUAAUGACUUACACGAUGAUUGGUCUGUUCUCCUGGAGCCGCUGAUCCACUUUGCUGUGUUCCGCUUCAGCUAGUAGAUCUCGCCGUGCUGUGGAUCUUCAGGUUUUUCCGAGUCCUUUCCUCAUAUGUUAAGUGCACAGGAAGCAGUGAUAUAAUUCAUACGUCAUUUUACAGCCCGUCUCAUAAGAUCAGGACGACUCUGAAUUUAUGACGAGCCAUUAUUCUUAUUAGGCUUGUAAAAGAAGGCAUUAGCCCACAGCAAGCAUUAGUAAAAUUCACUUUGCCUAACAAGGGGGCAGGACAGGGGUGAGAGAACAGUUAAAUUCAAUCAGCACUCUACAAGGUGAUGGCGCUGUGCCCGGUUUUCAUAGCUGCGAAACAUUCAACAAUGAUAAAUGUGACUAAUUGUAUGAGCUCCAGGGACGGAGCGCAGAUCUCUGAGGGUGAAAUUUCAUUGGGAUACGGAUCCCUGCAUUUUAAUGUGAUGUUUGAUUUGGACAGUAUGGACAGCUGAUUGCGUGCAAGAGAAGACAAGCAUUGACUCAUCACCAUGCAUCAAAUUCACCUCAAGCCCCUUCCACCCAUGAGAUAAUGAUGCACAGCCAAAUUAAAUAAACAAAGUGCAGGAGCUGUGAUCCUCCAGUCCAGGGCCCCACGCGGAUCCUGAUUCUGCACGGCAGCUUAAGGAAAUCCGGCCAUCCCAGUGUGUGUCCGAUUGGUCACAGAGGACCGUGUUGGGCUGGGGAGCACAGGCCCUGGUAUCUUUGAUUUUCACUUUAUACGACAUGGUUCUCACAUGACUAGAUAACACUGUAGCUCCAGGCAGACAGCUGUGUCUGGCCUGGGGUGUAAGGCAGAGGGAUAAACAGGUGGAGGAAGGAACCGGACUGGAAAAGGUCUAGUGGUAGCCGCUCCACUUUAACUGUUGGAGGGAGAGCUCCUCAGGCGUUGAAAGUAAAAUGGUGAAAAAGUUGCCCUUAUUAAUAGUGGACAAUUUUAUAGUUCAUAACUGCUGUGAAAGGGUUCACAUUUAGCACAGAGUUAGUGGUGUUCUUUGAUAAUUUGCUUUCAUUUUCCUCUCCUCACCUUUCCUGUGGCUUUAUGCAAAACAUGUAUGUCAAACAUGAGGCCCAGGGGCAGAUCACGUUCAUCUGGGACAAACAUUUGGCCCUGAGGAAGUUUUUACUCAAAAAAAAAAUCUAGAGAGAUUAGUUUUCUGGUUGCAACUAUGCCACUUUUAGUGACUUCACAUCCACAUUAGUGAGAUAAAGUGUCCAUGAUGUCAUUACCUGUCAGUCCUGGUCCCUGUUCAGUCAGUAUUUACUGUUGUCUGUGUCAGUACUUAGAGCCCUGCUUCCUCUUCAACCAGCACCAAAAUCACAUAAUUCCCCUUAAUUACCAGUUUUCUGUGUAACAACUGUCUGGCCUCCAGACCAGAGUUACUAAAUUCACAAUGACUGCAACUAUCAACUGCAUCACUUCCUCCAUAAGUGAAUGUUGUCAGUUCAUUUACACUGUUGUGGUGGAAACUAUCUUUUAAAUCCCCAAGGGAGCAAACACGAUUAAGGAAUAUGGAUUUCAUCUCCUCUCGCCUUGUCGUCGACUCCUCCACCAACCAAAUUAACAUCUGUCGUUGUUUCCCUCCAGUUUCCCUGUGACUUAAAGAUGUUGUGAAAUAUUCAAGGGGAGCGUUUCAAGCGUUGAUGAUGUAAAUAUUUUGCAAAAAAAUGCAAAAUUAAAGCAAAACUGACGCUGAGAUUUGAUGUGUUUUCCCACUGACACUUUCUUAUGGCUGUGUGGUUAGACAUUAGUUCAUCAUCUCCAGCGGGCACCAACCCUGGAUCUCUUCAUUGAUCCCACACAAAACAAAUGGCAAUCUCCGACCGCGGGACACAAUGCUUCAUCCUGCCCAGUCCAUUAACCCCUAUCACAGAGCUCCCACACUGAAGAUGGAAUGCGCCGACGCCCCACUGUUAGAUGGAUCGGCAGGAGAGGGAGAGAUAGAGAGCGAGGGAAAGGUGGUGCUGUGGUGGAGAAUCGGAUACAGGAAGAAGGAGGGAGAUGGGAGCCGCAGAUGGAGGGAGAAUGAAAUAUGGCCAAGACAGAAGUAAAGAAUGAAAGUGUCAUAAUGAUCAGUUUAUGAUGAGUUGUUUUCCAGGUGCCAUCAAAUGAAGUGUGUUGUGUUUCACAUAAUGAUGUCUGAGCCAGGAGAAGUCAGCUGCUGAUGAAAGUCACAGUCCUUUUCUACGCCACCCAGUGUUGGCUUUUAUGUUAGCUGUAAAGUUGAUCAUUACAGCAAACAGCAGCUGUGCUGCGACUUCCUGAUGUCUAACAUGUGACCUGCGGAAUGGGAAUCACAUCCAGGAUGGGAAUAACCACUUCCUAAUAAGUAUUUACUUUUAAAAAUUGCAAAAUAAUAAACAAAAUAUAGGAUUAUCCAUUUCAAAAUC